GGAGGGUGCGAGCGUUAUCCGGAAUUACUGGGUUUAAAGGGUGCGUAGGCGGCUAUGUAAGUCAGAUAGUGAAAGUUUGCGGCUCAACCGUAAAAUUGCUUUUGAUACUGCAUGGCUAGAAUCAGGAUGAGGUUAGCGGAAUGUGGCAUGUAGCGGUGAAAUGCAUAGAUAUGCCAUAGAACACCAAUUGCGAAGGCAGCUGGCUAGACCUGUAUUGACGCUGAGGCACGAAAGCGUGGGGAUCGAACAGGAUUAGAUACCCUGGUAGUCCACGCCCUAAACGAUGCUCACUCGACGUAUGGCCCUUGAGGUUGUGCGUCCAAGGGAAACCGUUAAGUGAGCCACCUGGGGAGUACGACCGCAAGGUUG
rnacentral:rRNA from 1 species